rnacentral:antisense_RNA from 1 species
ACAAGAAGGAAUCAGGAGGCAGAGCACAUGGUUAAAGCAUGAGAUGUGAAACCAGGAAGAACCAGGUCUGAACCUUAGCUCCACCAGUGGUAGCCCCAAACCUUGGUCCUUUCUGAGCCUGCUUCUUCAACCCUAAGGGAACGCUACACUUCCUUAGAAAUUAAGAGUGUGUGCUACACUGCUUUACCAGAGCAAGACCAAAAGCAGCUUCAAUUAUGGUACAACUGUGUGAAGACACAAUGCGAAACCACUCAAGAAUGCUCACUCAAAUGGAUUUUUACCAUGAUAAGCGAACAGAAAACAGUCCUCUCUGAAUCAGACAAACUUCAAGAGCUACAAGGGUUAUUAACACAUGAAGUAAAGAGUCAAACAGUAAUCUGCAGGAACUCGGAAACGGGACCCAGAAAGUUGUUUUCUGCAAGUGGAUGGAACAACACAAGCAAUCAGUAUCCUGAAACAGGCCCUGUUCCAACAAACUGACCCAGAAAGCAAGUAUGAGGACUCCUGUUUCCCUACGUACUCACUACUACAGCAAAGAUAUCAAACAUUGAUACCCACCAAUCUCUGGAUGGAAAAACAAAUCUCAGGAAUCGCUUGCAGGAGGCUCUGCACGUUCCUCAGAUUCAGAGUCACUGUCCUUUUGCCUGUGAAGCUCCUCACUUUCAGAGUCACUAGCAUUAAGAUUUAAGGGCUCAUCAUUCUCAGAGUCUGUCACAUGAUGUCCUUUGGGGAGGCCAUCUUCUCGAUCAC